rnacentral:lncRNA from 1 species
AAUGCAUCCCUGGAUCAUAGCAGACUCUGCCUAUAGAGGCCUGGGGUCCCUUUGGCAGCACUUUUCUCAAGAAAGUAGAGUCGUGGACAACCAACUGCACAGGUUGGGAGGCUUUGAAGAACAAGCUGCCAUGAAUCCUGCAGCUACAAGGAAAUGAACUCUAUUAACUUGAGUGAGCUUAAAACUAGAUCCUUCCCCAGUCAAGCCUCCAGGUGAGAAUUCAAUCCUGGCUGGCACCUGGAUUGCAGCUUACAGAAGACCCAGCUAAGGCCAUGUCUGGACUUUAAAUCCACAGGAACUGCAAGAUGGUAUCAGAAGUGGGACCUGCAGUGGGGCAUCUAGCAACCCCCAGGAGCAUUGAGUGACCAGGCUUGGGACCCACCGGGCGCAGGGUGUCCAUUGUUCUCUCGAAGCAACUGAGAAUUGUGGAUAUUCUUCAUUAUUCCAUCAUCAUCUCAAACCUCUUGGGUAUAGUGUUUGACUACUACUGUGACCAUAAAUUCCAAUAAAACCUAGGAAAAAUGAAACCACUACAU